AGCGAACGCUGGCGGCAGGCUUAACACAUGCAAGUCGAACGGAUCCUUCGGGAUCAGUGGCGGACGGGUGAGUAACACGUGGGAACGUGCCCUUGGGUUCGGAACAACACAGGGAAACUUGUGCUAAUACCGGAUGUGCCCUUUUGGGGAAAGAUUUAUCGCCUUUGGAGCGGCCUGCGUCUGAUUAGCUAGUUGGUGAGGUAAGAGCUCACCAAGGCGACGAUCAGUAGCUGGUCUGAGAGGAUGGCCAGCCACACUGGGACUGAGACACGGCCCAGACUCCUACGGGAGGCAGCAGUGGGGAAUCUUGCGCAAUGGGCGAAAGCCUGACGCAGCCAUGCCGCGUGGAUGAUGAAGGUCUUAGGAUUGUAAAAUCCUUUCAGCGGGGACGAUAAUGACGGUACCCGCAGAAGAAGCCCCGGCUAACUUCGUGCAAGCCGCCGCCGUAACAC
rnacentral:rRNA from 1 species